UACGGAGGGUGCAAGCGUUGCUCGGAAUUAUUGGGCGUAAAGGGUAGGUAGGUGGUCUCAUUUGUCUGGGGUGAAAGCCUUGAGCUUAACUCAAGAAGUGCCCCAGAAACGGUGAGACUAGAGUCUUGGAGAGGGUCGUGGAAUUCCCGGUGUAGCGGUGAAAUGCGUAGAGAUCUGGAGGAAUACCGGUGGCGAAGGCGGCCCCCUGGACAAAGACUGACGCUCAGGUGCGAAAGCGUGGGGAGCAAACAGG
rnacentral:rRNA from 1 species